rnacentral:rRNA from 1 species
CCUACGGGUGGCAGCAGUGGGGAAUAUUGGACAAUGGGCGAAAGCCUGAUCCAGCCAUGCCGCGUGUGUGAGGAAGGCCUUCGGGUUGUAAAGCACUUUCAGUGGGGAAGAAAGCCUUGGGGCUAAUACCCUCGAGGAAGGACAUCACCCACAGAAGAAGCACCGGCUAACUCCGUGCCAGCAGCCGCGGUAAUACGGAGGGUGCGAGCGUUAAUCGGAAUUACUGGGCGUAAAGCGCGCGUAGGCGGUCUGAUAAGCCGGUUGUGAAAGCCCCGGGCUCAACCUGGGAACGGCAUCCGGAACUGUCAGGCUAGAGUGUAGGAGAGGAAGGUAGAAUUCCCGGUGUAGCGGUGAAAUGCGUAGAGAUCGGGAGGAAUACCAGUGGCGAAGGCGGCCUUCUGGACUGACACUGACGCUGAGGUGCGAAAGCGUGGGUAGCAAACAGGAUUAGAUACCCCAGUAGUC